GACGAACGCUGGCGGCGUGCUUAACACAUGCAAGUCGAGCGGUAAGGCCCUUUCGGGGGUACACGAGCGGCGAACGGGUGAGUAACACGUGGGUGACCUGCCCUCAGCUCUGGGAUAAGCCUGGGAAACCGGGUCUAAUACUGGAUAUGACUCCAUGACGCAUGUUGUGGGGUGGAAAGCCUUGUGCGGCUGAGGAUGGGCCCGCGGCCUAUCAGCUUGUUGGUGGGGUGAUGGCCUACCAAGGCGACGACGGGUAGCCGGCCUGAGAGGGCGACCGGCCACACUGGGACUGAGACACGGCCCAGACUCCUACGGGGGGCGAGCAGUGGGGAAGUCUUGCGCAAUGGGCGGAAAGACCUGACGCAGCGACGCCGCGUGAGGGAUGACGGCCUCGGUUGUAA
rnacentral:rRNA from 1 species